rnacentral:rRNA from 1 species
GAUGAACGCUGGCGGAGUGCCUAACACAUGCAAGUCGAGCGGCAGCGCGAGUAGUUUACUACUUGGCGGCGAGCGGCGGACGGCUGAGUAACGCGUGGGAACAUGCCCCCAAAGUGAGGAAUAACUGCCCGAAAGGGUAGCUAAUGCCGCAUACGAUCUUCGGAUUAAAGGAUUUAUCCGCUUUGGGAGUGGCCUGCGUACGAUUAGAUAGUUGGUGAGGUAAUGGCUCACCAAGUCUACGAUCGUUAACUGGUUUGAGAGGAUGAUCAGUCAGACUGGAACUGAGACACGGUCCAGACUCCUACGGGAGGCAGCAGUGAGGAAUCUUCCACAAUGGACGAAAGUCUGAUGGAGCAACUCCGCGUGCAGGAUGAAGGCCUUCGGUCGU